GGCUGCUUUGUCUUCCUUCUUCCUUUCCGAAGGAGCACUUGCUAGUUUCUCAAAUUCCUGAGACCUCUACACCUAGGAGUAUGAGUGACUGGAUGCCCAUUGCCAAGGAAUAUGAUCCGCUUAAAGCUGGCAGCAUCGAUGGUACAGACGAAGACCCACAUGACCGAGCUGUGUGGAGGGCCAUGCUGGCCUGCUAUGUCCCCAACAAAGGAGUCACUGGAGACCUCCUCCAUACCCUGUUUGUGGCACAACUGGACUUGCAGACCAAAGAGAAGUUCUCCCGUCCCAAAACUUAUGGUGAUAUGAGAGGUGAAGACAGAAUUUCCGCGAAGCGUACGGUACAGCUACAGCCCAGCAGGUAUAAGAAGAGAAUCCUUGCCUCAAAACAAGGUGUGUUGGAGUAUCUAGGACUGGCUGAGGUGGGAGUGCUGAGUUCUGAUCAUGGUGAGUGGUCUUGGUUUCUGUUAGUAAGAUUCUUACGUUUGCCUUUCGCCAUCUGGUAUUAUCUGGAGUUAGUUGUUAUAGUUGUCUCUGGUUAGAGCUUGUUCCUCCUGUGAUUCUGUUAGCCUCUGUCAGCAGACCUGGGAGUGUAGCUCUCUCCGGAGUUUCAGUGAUCAGAGUACUCUCUGCAGGCAAGCUCUCCUCUUGGAGGAAAGGUGCACAGAUAUGUAUCAUUCAGACCUGCCUACUGAUUGAAGAUGAUAGCCUGAAAGUGGGCCUGUCCCAGAAGCUGUGUAGCUUCCUUAGUCAGCAUUCUCACCUGUGCAGACUAGUCUCUGAGGGAUCCAGGACCCAAUAUGGCUCCCCCAGGUGCUCCGCAGUAGAGCCCUCCAGGGCAGACAUCUCUCCUCUGGCAGGGAAGGUGCUGGGAUGUCUCGAGCCUGAAACCAGGUCUGUCCCAGAAGCUGUGUUGCUUCUGCCUGUUCCUAGAAGCUGUGUAGCUUCUGUAGUCUGCACUCUCACCUUCGAAGACUAGUUACUGAGGGAUCCAAGACCCAACAGUUUUUUUCUUUUAAAAUCAAAUUAAUUGUAUAAAUUAAUUUGAGCACUCAAAAGCAAGGAUGAAAUUUAAUCACAUUCAAACAUAAAAAUUAAAUGGCACUCAUAGUU